rnacentral:rRNA from 1 species
CAGCAGCCGCGGUAAUACGGAGGGGGCUAGCGUUGUUCGGAAUUACUGGGCGUAAAGCGCACGUAGGCGGCUUGGUAAGUUAGAGGUGAAAGCCUGGAGCUCAACUCCAGAAUCGCCUUUAAGACUGCCGAGCUAGCAGGUGAGAGAGGUAAGUGGAAUUCCGAGUGUAGAGGUGAAAUUCGUAGAUAUUCGGAAGAACACCAGUGGCGAAGGCGGCUUACUGGCUCAUACUGGACGCUGAGGUGCGAAAGCGUGGGGAGCAAACAGGAUUAGAUACCCGCGUAGUCCCUGUCUCUUAUAC